AAAAGCUCCGGUGGUGUAAGAUGGACCCGCGUCUGAUUAGCUUGUUGGCGGGGUAACGGCCCACCAAGGCAACGAUCAGUAGCCGGCCUGAGAGGGUGAACGGCCACAUUGGGACUGAGACACGGCCCAAACUCCUACGGGAGGCAGCAGUGGGGAAUAUUGGACAAUGGGGGGAACCCUGAUCCAGCGACGCCGCGUGAGUGAAGAAGUAUUUCGGUAUGUAAAGCUCUAUCAGCAGGGAAGAAAGAAAUGACGGUACCUGACUAAGAAGCCCCGGCUAACUACGUGCCAGCAGCCGCGGUAAUACGUAGGGGGCAAGCGUUAUCCGGAUUUACUGGGUGUAAAGGGAGCGUAGACGGCGAUGCAAGUCUGAAGUGAAAGGCGGGGGCCCAACCCCCGGACUGCUUUGGAAACUGUAUGGCUGGAGUGCAGGAGAGGUAAGUGGAAUUCCUAGUGUAGCGGUGAAAUGCGUAGAUAUUAGGAGGAACACCAGUGGCGAAGGCGGCUUACUGGACUGUAACUGACGUUGAGGCUCGAAAGCGUGGGGAGCAAACAGGAUUAGAUACCCUGGUAGUCCACGCCGUAAACGAUGAUCACCAGGUGUCGGUGGGUAUGGACCCAUCG
rnacentral:rRNA from 1 species